rnacentral:rRNA from 1 species
UACAGAGGGGGCAAGCGUUAUUCGGAAUUUAUUGGGCGUAAAGGGCGCGUAGGCGGCUUGGCAAGUGGAAGGUGAAAUCCCUCGGCUUAACCGAGGAACUGCCCUCCAAACUGCUUUGCUUGAGGCCGGGAGAGGCGAGUGGAAUUCCCGAGUGUAGCGGUGAAAUGCGUAGAUAUUGGGAGGAACACCAGUGGCGAAGGCGGCUCGCUGGACCGGUUCUGACGCUGAGGCGCGAAAGCGUGGGGAGCAAAGCGGG